rnacentral:tRNA from 1 species
GGCCAUGUAGCCAAGUGGUUUUAGGCAUUGGUCUGCAAAACCAAUAACGCGGGUUCGAUUCCCGCCAUGGCCU